UGGCGGACGGGUGAGUAACGCGUGGGUAACCUGCCUCAUACAGGGGGAUAACGGUUAGAAAUGACUGCUAAUACCGCAUAAGCACACAGUACCGCAUGGUACGGUGUGAAAAACUCCGGUGGUAUGAGAUGGACCCGCGUCUGAUUAGCUAGUUGGUGAGGUAACGGCCCACCAAGGCGACGAUCAGUAGCCGACCUGAGAGGGUGACCGGCCACAUUGGGACUGAGACACGGCCCAA
rnacentral:rRNA from 1 species